GACGAACGCUGGCGGCGUGCCUAAUACAUGCAAGUUGAGCGCUGAAGGUUGGUACUUGUACCAACUGGAUGAGCAGCGAACGGGUGAGUAACGCGUGGGGAAUCUGCCUUUGAGCGGGGGACAACAUUUGGAAACGAAUGCUAAUACCGCAUAAAAACUUUAAACACAAGUUUUAAGUUUGAAAGAUGCAAUUGCAUCACUCAAAGAUGAUCCCGCGUUGUAUUAGCUAGUUGGUGAGGUAAAGGCUCACCGAGGCGAUGAUACAUAGCCGACCUGAGAGGGUGAUCGGCAACAUUGGGACUGAGACACGGCCCAAACUCCUACGGGAGGCAGCAGUAGGGAAUCUUCGGCAAUGGACGAAAGUCUGACCGAGCAACGCCGCGUGAGUGAAGAAGGUUUUCGGAUCGUAAAACUCUGUUGGUAGAGAAGAACGUUGGUGAGAGUGGAAAGCUCAUCAAGUGACGGUAACUACCCAGAAAGGGACGGCUAACUACGUG
rnacentral:rRNA from 1 species